rnacentral:misc_RNA from 1 species
CUCAACUUAUCCUCAAUUGGCACGUAUUAUUGAUUAUAGCUGAUAGAAAAUUAGUUAAAUUCUUCUCUUUUUUUUGAUGAAGAAGGGUAGUCAACUAGUCAUAUUGAAUACAAUAAUUGCAGCUUAAAACUUGUCUCAGAGCAUAUUAUCAAGACUUUACAACAGAUAACAGAAAGGCUACAUCCAUGGGUCAAAGAAGUGAAUUCUUUUUCUUCAUUCAUUUGCAACUCCACUCAUAUUCACAUGCACAAAAAAAUGCCGAAAAUCUAGACAUAAUUUGUUGAUAAACAACACUAACGUCCAUUUGAGAAAAAUAUUAGUCAGUCACUGUUCUUACCACAGCUUAAUGAAAUUAUCAUGGUUAAUUACUGCUCAUAUUAAUAGAAUUGCCUUAUUAUUAUUUACAGAAGUACUGUAAAAAUAAAGUCAUAGAAAUAUAUACAUGAGUUAUCAGCAUAAGCUAUAAGAUUUUGACAAACCACAAAGCGUUUCAAUUUUCAAUCACCACAAAAAGAAAUUACGUACAGGAGUUUCUGAGAAGCACUUGCAUUUUCCCAUGGUGGAUCAACCACUAUUAGAUUGAAUCCACAAUCAGCCUCAGCUGCAUUAAAAGCCAAGUGAGAAUUCCCACAAUUUGUAGAAUAGAAUUCCCACAAUUUGUAGAAUAGAAUUAGCAAAAACUUUUGUGAAUAUAAAGAAUGGGGGCAAUCGAGGCACCAUUAACAAGAUCAUACUGGCCAGGCUAAAAAUAGCAUACUUUUCCCAUGAGAAACAUAAUAGAUACUGUUCAUCAACAGAAUGGAUUCAACAUCAUAUAUCGUGACAGGUACCCACCAAAAUUCUUGAAAUUUUCUUUUCUUGCCACAGCAGUGAUAGCUACAGUAAGAAAUUUAAAACAUAGAAUUGACAUGCCAAUAGAACAGCCAGCAUAGUAAUAUGAUGCUGCAUUUCCCUGAAUACUAACAUGUUCACCAUUAAGUCACUGAUCAACUGCAGGCAUAAAGUUGAGACCUUAAAAUUUCUCAACUACAGAAGUAAAAACUCUUGCAAGUAAAAAAAAACUCAAGAAAGUGCAUCCAGUAGUAUAUCCAAGAAUUACCAGGAAUAAGGUUGUGAAUCUGCUCCAGCUCAGACAUGUAAAAGCAACUUUCUUUGGGUAGUAUAUAUUUCUCGUUUAGAAAUGCCGCAUCUACAUCACUGCCUGUCUCAUUAACAACCAAAUUAUUAAAAACUGGAAAAAUUCUUUGGCCAGUGCAUGGAUCAAUCAGGGAACCUGCAUCUCUGCUUGGCUCGUGAUGUUGAGGAAAAUUAAGAGUGAUUUCGUAGAAAGGAGCUUGCCAAACGCGGCAAAGUUCCGUAAAAGAGUGCUCAUUGAGAGGAGUUGGUAAUUCUCUGCAUUGUAAGGGACAAAAAUCACUCCUUAAAUUUCUCAUAAUCGCUAAGAGAUCAGUAGCCGCCACUAAGCAUUCCAAUGCCUUCAACAACAUAGGCCUCGCUUGCUGGUGGCGCUGAUCAGCAGCUCUUUCUCUUUCGUUCAAGGAGUGAGGUUUCUUCUCUCUUCGCUUUCGCUUCUUUGAACUUGAAGACAACUUAGUUUCAUGGCGAUCUUCACCGGAGUACUUGGGAUCGAAGAAACGAGAAUAGUAGGCAGAUGGAGAAACCCUAAAACGGGUAUAGGACAGAUUUAACACACGAACCGGGUCAAUAAAAACAACAUUUGAACAUUCGAAUCGGUAAAUCCCAGAAUCCAAAAAUACAGAUAGCCGAUCCCUCGUUUUUGAGUCCUCCAUCGUUGUAAUCUCGCCGGCUCUGUUAAUCGAGACAAAAGGGACAGAAAGGUUUCCGUCGUAUCAGGUAACGGAAGCGGUGUGGCAGUAGGGAUGGCGGGUAUUUUUCCGG